rnacentral:rRNA from 1 species
AGCGAACGCUGGCGGCAGGCCUAACACAUGCAAGUCGAACGAAGUCUUCGGACUUAGUGGCGGACGGGUGAGUAACACGUGGGAACGUGCCUUUAGGUUCGGAAUAACUCAGGGAAACUUGUGCUAAUACCGAAUGUGCCCUUCGGGGGAAAGAUUUAUCGCCUUUAGAGCGGCCCGCGUCUGAUUAGCUAGUUGGUGAGGUAAAGGCUCACCAAGGCGACGAUCAGUAGCUGGUCUGAGAGGAUGAUCAGCCACAUUGGGACUGAGACACGGCCCAAACUCCUACGCGAGGCAGCAGUGGAGAAUCUUACGCAAUGGGCGAAAGCCUGACGCAGCCAUGCCGCGUGCAUGAUGAAGGUCUUAGGAUUGUAAAAUUCUUUCACCGGGGACGAUAAUGACGGUACCCGGAGAAGAAGCCCCGGCUAACUUCGUGCCAGCCGCCGCGGUAAAAC